rnacentral:rRNA from 1 species
UACGUAGGGUGCGAGCGUUGUCCGGAAUUCUUGGGCGUAAAGGGCUCGUAGGCGGUUUGUCGCGUCGGGAGUGAAAUCCACUGGCUUAACUGGUGGCUUGCUUUCGAUACGGGCAGACUGGAGGUAUGCAGGGGAGAACGGAAUUCCUGGUGUAGCGGUGAAAUGCGCAGAUAUCAGGAGGAACACCGAUGGCGAAGGCAGGUCUCUGGGCAUUAACUGACGCUGAGGAGCGAAAGCAUGGGGAGCGAACAGG